CCGGAGUUACGAGCGACGCCGGGCUCGGUCCGCUGCGGCCCGAGUCGGCGGUGCUGCUCGCCCAGGCUGAGGCCCGGCCGCCCGGCGUAUCCAAACCACACUGCAUUUGAGAUCGUGCGUGGUUUUGCAUAGGCUGACAUUUUGCGAUUGGGUUAAACUCGGGACCUCUGCGAAGAGGACCCACUUAUUUUUUUCUUUCCAAAAUGGCAGCCUCCAGCCGCGCACGAGUGUUAGAUCUGUACCGAGCGAUGCUGAGAGAGAGCAAGCAAUUCAGCGCCUACAAUUACAGAACUUAUGCUAUCAGGAAGAUAAGAGAUGCCUUCAGAGAAAAUAAGAAUAUGAAAGAUCCUGUAGAAAUUCAGGCUCUAGUGAAUAAAGCCAAGGGAGACCUGGAAAUGAUUCGUCGACAGUUUCUCCUAACAGUAGCCUUCUAAGACCAUACCAGUAUCCUUGGGUUAGAAGAGGAAAGUCAGACUUGGCAUGUUUUACUAGUUUUCCUGAGGACACACACUCAGAAGAAUGGUGAGCCCUCAUCUAUUCUUAUAUUUCAGCCAGUUCUUAGAAUAGAGAUCAGACUGCACGUGGCCUUAUUUUGGCAGAAGGUAAAUGAGACUUUGGAUGUGAGAGAAGACAAGAUUUGUACUUCUUUUUCUAAUUGCUCAUUUAGAACUCUUACUAAAAGCUAACAGCUUACUGUCUGUAGUCUUAUGAAUAGUUUAUCCCAGGGGCUGAUCUUAUUUAUCAUUUCUGAAAAACACUUUCACUCUCUCAGCCUUCAAAAGAAAAAGUACAAAAACCACAGUCUGAAAAUGUUAAAGGUCAGCCACCUUAUUUAAGAAGUGUUUGCUCAGAAUUUCCCCACAGAUCUGAAGGUUGCAGCUCCAAUUGUGCUAUUCUUGACAAGCUAUCACUGAAGUGCCCUUCAGUGGAAACCUUUUGAUGCCUUACUGCUUGGCUCAUCCUUUCAAGCAAUCAAAGUUAAUUCAAGUCAUGCUUAUGCUGGAGAUCUUCUCCCAAGAUGACAAAGGAACAAUGUCACAUCUUCUAAGAAGGGCAGUUUAGCGGACCAUUAGGAACAUGCUUAUUCCUGUCUGUUUCUGUACCGUGCGGAGCCUGUCGCAUGGACAUCAUACUUUAUGUCCUGCCUUCGCAGCAUUUCUGUUGCUUCGUGAAUGGAAGCACCUGAGUCUCACUUAAGCUGGAUCGCAGGAUCCUUGGGGGCUGGGCCUUCUGUGGCCACUGGACCAGCACAGCACCUGUACCCCACUCCUGAGGGAAGGCUUUCAGUGCCCUUCCUCCCCCUUUCUUGCCUGCUAAAAUCUUACUGCCUUCUGGGCCACCAAACAAUAAAAUGUAACUAUAGAUUUA